rnacentral:lncRNA from 1 species
UGCGGGCGGUGUUGGCCUCUGUGGGGCAGCUACCGAGGAGGGUCAUCCCUGAGCACUCACCAGGCGCCCGUUCUACACUGCCCGUGUAGACGAUUGGCUCUUUCGUCUCCAUGGUGGCUUCGUAGAGUGGGUGCUGUUCCCAAAUGUCCCCAUUCGACAGAUGAGACGUCUGGGGUCAGAGAGGCAGUAACCGGCCUGGGAAUCCGGACAUGACCCUGAGUUUUGCUCUCAGCCCUGCCGUGUGCUGUGCUGGAAUUCAGGCCUGAACCCUGUGACCUCCCUGCCCUAGAUCCCAAAUCUGCCCAGGUUUCCCAUCCCGAUGGGGCAGAGCCUGGUCCUGGCAGAGCCACUGGUAUAGAGCCACUGGUACAGAU